rnacentral:rRNA from 1 species
GAUGAACGCUGGCGGCGUGCCUAAUACAUGCAAGUCGAGCGAACAGACGAGGCGCUUGCCCCUCUGACGUUACCGGCGGACGGGUGAGUACCACGUGGAUAACCUACCUAUAAGACUGGGAUACCUUCGGGAACCCGGAGCUAACACCGGAUCAUAUAUUGAACCGCAUGGUUCAUUAGUCCUAGCGGUAUCUGCUGACCCUAAUAGAGGGUUCCGGGCCGCAUUAGCUAGUUGGUACGGUAACGGCUUACCAAGGCGAGGAUGCGUAGCUGACCUGAGAGGAUGAUCGGCCACACUGGAACUGAGACACGGUCCAGACUCCUACGGGAGGCAGCAGUAGGGAAUCUUCCGCAAUGGGCGAAAGCCUGACGGAGCAACGCCGCGUGAGUGAUGAAGGUCUUCGGAUCGUAAAACUCUGUUAUUAGGGAAGAACGAAUGUGUAAGUAACUAUGCACGUCUUGACGGUACCUAAACAGAAAGCCACGGCUAACUACGUG